rnacentral:rRNA from 1 species
UGGGGAAUAUUGGACAAUGGGCGAAAGCCUGAUCCAGCCAUGCCGCGUGUGUGAAGAAGGUCUUCGGAUUGUAAAGCACUUUAAGUUGGGAGGAAGGGCAUUAACCUAAUACGUUAGUGUUUUGACGUUACCGACAGAAUAAGCACCGGCUAACUCUGUGCCAGCAGCCGCGGUAAUACAGAGGGUGCAAGCGUUAAUCGGAAUUACUGGGCGUAAAGCGCGCGUAGGUGGUUUGUUAAGAUGGAUGUGAAAUCCCCCGGCUCAACCUGGGAACUGCAUUCAAAACUGACUGACUAGAGUAUGGUAGAGGGUGGUGGAAUUUCCUGUGUAGCGGUGAAAUGCGUAGAUAUAGGAAGGAACACCAGUGGCGAAGGCGACCACCUGGACUAAUACUGACACUGAGGUGCGAAAGCGUGGGGAGCAAACA